rnacentral:lncRNA from 1 species
AAAAAUGUAGGAGAACGUCGAAGUUUGUCAUUCAUUAUCAUUAGACCCAUAUAAGAGUAUUGUUUACAUGACAUGGACAUAACUAAUGAGUAUUUGAGUGGACAGACACAUAUACAUAAUUUACAACAUAUCACCUUGGAUGUCCACCAAUGACAGAUAUGGUGUUGGACGCGCUUAUUGUUGCCUCGUUAAAAACUUUUUAAGGUAAUAACAACUAUUUGAAAAAAAAAAAACAACAUAAUUGAAGAACGAAAAGAGUGCAAUGUGCAUACGUGUUUGGUAACAUAAUCUUGAAUCCUCCCCUUCCUGAGAAUCUCCUUGUGAUUGAUGCAAGCUAAAAUAUCAUGUAAUUGGUAAAAUACAUAUCUCAUGUAUAGUAGAUGUUGUGUGUUGAUCACAGAAGUGAAGCUUUGCAUAAAAAAGGGACUCAUCAUGAAUUUCCAAUCCUAGAAAAGUUGAGCAAGAGCAACUCCAACAGUUUCCACAUAAUCCAACUCCUUCUCUAAAAUUUGAGAGUUUACUGCAAAUAUGAGGAAUAUGGUUUUCUCUCUCAUGCCCCAUUUUGGAGAAAGUUUUAGGGAACCUGUUAGGCCAAAACAACCAAAAUCUUCUCCAAAAUUGAGAAAAUCAAAAAUAUGGGGAAGUUGUUUGAGUUGCUCUAAUAACAACAAAACUAUGAUAUUCUCAGUGAAAGCUUACUUCACAUGAUAAGAGAGUUGAACCAUUUUAUGUUCUAAUUAUAGAUAAAGAAAUUAGCUAAAGAGUAAAUAUAUAAGGAUCAAGGUUCUAAAAAACGGCCUAGGCGGCCGCCUGGGCGCCCGGAGAAGGGUUACCAUCCCGAUUUUAGGCAAAUCGGCGGGUCUAGGCGGCUGGCCGUUUUUUGGCCGCCUGGGCGACGCCUAGGCGGCUGGGCGGGCGCCUAG